AGUGAACGCUGGCGGCGUGCCUAAUACAUGCAAGUCGAACGGAGUGGCGCACGGGUGAGUAAUGUAUAGCUAAUCAGCCCUACACUAGAGGACAACAGUUGGAAACGGCUGCUAAUACUCUAUAGUGUAGGAUGAGGCUAUAUUGUAUCAGCUAGUUGGUGAGGUAAUGGCUCACCAAGGCUAUGACGCAUAACUGGUCUGAGAGGAUGAUCAGUCACACUGGAACUGAGACACGGUCCGGACUCCUUCGGGAAGCAGCAGUAGGGAAUAUUGCUCAAUGGGGGAAACCCUAAAGCAGCAUCGCCUCGUGGAGGAUGACACUUUUCGGAGCGUAAACUCCUUUUGUUAGUGAGGCGUUACCUAACGAAUAAGCACCGGCUAACUCCGUGCCAGCAGCCGCGGUAAUAC
rnacentral:rRNA from 1 species